rnacentral:rRNA from 1 species
GAUGAACGCUGGCGGCGUGCUUAAUACAUGCAAGUCGAGCGAACAGACGCGGAGCUUGCUCCUCUGACGUUAGCGGCGGACGGGUGAGUAACACGUGGAUAACCUACCUAUAAGACUGGGAUCACUUCGGGAAACCGGAGCUAAUACCGGAUAAUAUAUUGAACCGCAUGGUUCAAUAGUGAAAGACGGUUUUGCUGUCACUUAUAGAUGGAUCCGCGCCGCAUUAGCUAGUUGGUAAGGUAACGGCUUACCAAGGCAACGAUGCGUAGCCGACCUGAGAGGGUGAUCGGCCACACUGGAGCUGAGACACGGUCCAGACGACUACGGGAGGCAGCAGUAGGGAAUCUUCCGCAAUGGGCGAAAGCCUGACGGAGCAACGCCGCGUGAGUGAUGAAGGUCUUCGGAUCGUAAAACUCUGUUAUUAGUGAAGAACAAAUGUGUAAGUAACUAUGCACGUCUUGACGGUACCUAAUCAGAAAGCCACGGCUAACUACGUG